UUCGCAAUGCCCGAAAGGGUGACGAAGCGACGCCGCGUGCGGGAAGAAGGCCUUCGGGUUGUAAACCGCUGUCGGGAGUUAAGAAAUGUAAGGAUGUUAAUAGCAUCUUUGCUUGACUAAGGCUCCGGAGGAAGCCACGGCUAACUCUGUGCCAGCAGCCGCGGUAAUACAGAGGCGGCAAGCGUUGUUCGGAAUUAUUGGGCGUAAAGAGCACGUAGGCGGCUAUGUAAGUCGGUUGUGAAAGCCUUCCGCUCAACGGGAGAACAGCAUCCGAUACUGCAUGGCUUGAGUGCGGGAGGGGAGAGUGGAACUUCUGGUGGAGCGGUGAAAUGCGUAGAUAUCAGAAGGAACGCCGGCGGCGAAAGCGGCUCUCUGGCCCAUAACUGACGCUGAGUGUGCGUAAGCUAGGGGAGCAAACGGGAUUAGAUACCCCGGUAGUCCUAGCCGUAAACGAUGGGCACUAAGUAGAGGGGUUUU
rnacentral:rRNA from 1 species